GUAGGUGGGCAAGCGUUGUCCGGAAUUAUUGGGCGUAAAGCGCGCGCAGGGCGGUCCUUUAAGUCUGAUGUGAAAGCCCACGGCUCAACCGUGGAGGGUCAUUGGAAACUGGGGGACUUGAGUACAGAAGAGGAAAGCGGAAUUCCAAGUGUAGCGGUGAAAUGCGUAGAGAUUUGGAGGAACACCAGUGGCGAAGGCGGCUUUCUGGUCUGUAACUGACGCUGAGGCGCGAAAGCGUGGGGAGCAAACAGGAUUAGAUACCCUGGUAGUCCACGCCGUAAACGAUGAGUGCUAAGUGUUAGGGGGUUUCCGCCCCUUAGUGCUGCAGCUAACGCAUUAAGCACUCCGCCUGGGGAGUACGGCCGCAAGGCUA
rnacentral:rRNA from 1 species